UACGUAGGGUGCAAGCGUUAAUCGGAAUUACUGGGCGUAAAGCGUGCGCAGGCGGUUUUGUAAGACUGUCGUGAAAUCCCCGGGCUCAACCUGGGAAUGGCGAUGGUGACUGCAAGGCUAGAGUUUGGCAGAGGGGGGUGGAAUUCCGCGUGUAGCAGUGAAAUGCGUAGAGAUGCGGAGGAACACCGAUGGCGAAGGCAGCCCCCUGGGUCGACACUGACGCUCAGGCACGAAAGCGUGGGGAGCAAACAGG
rnacentral:rRNA from 1 species